AAACUAGUCUUUGGUUUAUUUGAAAUAUUGUUUGUGUAAUAUUAAAAUGCUUUGAUUUGAUGUAGAACGUGAAUAAGAACUGAUUGGGUUAGUUUCUCAUCAUCUAAUUAAUGCUACAGUAAACUAGAGACAUUUUAGUAAAGCGAAUGUGGAAUGAAUGUCCAACCAAGUAAAUGCAAAAAAGUCAAAAUAUGACCGGAAUUAUAUUGCAACUGUACCACCCAUCAAAUUGUCAGAAGCCAAACGGCUGAAAUUGCACAGUGAAAGCUGGGGAUUGUUGACGGACUUCUACUUGGAAUCUGUUAAAAUAAACCGAUACAGGGGCCAAGUUUACUCAGCUGCUACUGUAAAAAUAGGAGACAGAGCCGGUCAAACAGUAUGUGUCCUGAGGGGGCCUGUUGUUGGCAUGUUAUUUGGUCUUACUUCUCAAGAAUGGCUGGAUAUUGAAGGCAUGGUGGAAAAUGAACAACAGUUAUUCUACAGAUAUUUUAAGGCAGGGUUGCACGGAAAUUUCAGCUGUGAACAGAAACUGUUUUACAAUUUUUGCCUGACGAACCAAACAUCUGAAGUUUUACUGGCAUUUUUUACAAGAUGUGUCAAUACAAGAAAUAAGGAUAAGAGUGAUGCUCUACUUCAAAUCAAUGAGCUGAGGAAGUGCAAACAUGAUGAAUUAAGUUAUUAUAUUGAUUACCUGCAAACCAACUGUGAUAUAAAUACCUAAUUAAACAUUUAUGAUACAUUUUAGUCCUUAAGUAAAUCUUUAAUUUUCAUUAACCCUUUAUAAGGCAGAGGCGAUAUAUCGACCACAUACGCUCAAUCAGAAAUUCAACCAUACUGUUUUAAUAAUAGGGCUCAAAAUCGUUUGCAUUAAUUGAAUAUUCAACUUGCUUUUAAAAUAGAUUUUUGAAAUGUAGGCUUCUGAUAGCUGCAACAAAUUCUGCGAUAGCACGUCCCUGUCAACGGGCCUUAUAAAGGGUUAAAUGAUUUUCCUUUUUUGUUUGUUCUUUUUAAAUGCUGUUUUUUUCUUUUCCAAUGUUUCAGUUGUAUUAAAUUAUGUGUAAACUUUUGUGGCUGAUGACUGUGUAAUGAAUAAUUUUACUAAUUAAUUAAAUUUAUAAGCUUUUA